rnacentral:misc_RNA from 1 species
AUGAUUGCGAAUGGUUGCCUUCGGUGCUGGCUCUUGCAAGUGCACGUUGGUGGCUUUCAUCCAAUACCCUUGUGAACCUUUGGCCUCUUGCUAGCUUCGGCUUGCAGAGGAUUUUUACACACACUCGAAUGUAAUGAAAACUAUUGUUGUGCGCAAGCACUACUAUA